rnacentral:lncRNA from 1 species
UAUAAUCGCUGGCACCUUCCCAAGAACUGCUGCAGAAACCAAGACUCUGACUGCAAAGAAAACUACAUUGUAGCUCCUGGUGGUAGGGUCACCAGACCAUUGGAGAGGAAAGACAGUGUGCAUGAAGGAGUGUAUGUGACGAAGCAGGAAACCGACAAGAGGCAGAGUCGUGUGAGUCUGAUCCUGGCCUGUUCAUUCCAGACAUCCUGCCCGGUGAACAUAAAACUAGAGAGAGAGAAUAGCACGCAGGAGCUCUGACAGGACCGAGUGGUCCAUAUGGACAUCAAACUCAGCAGGA